CUCUCGACCUUCGGGUCACAUGAGAGAGUGGCGAACGGGUGAGUAACACGUGAGAAACCUACCCCAGAGACCGGGAUAACUAUCGGAAACGAUAGCUAAUACCGGAUAUCCCCUUCGGACCGCAUGGUCUGAUGUGGAAAUGCUCCGGCGCUCUGGGAGGGUCUCGCGGCCUAUCAGUUAGUUGGUGGGGUAAUGGCCUACCAAGACGACAACGGGUAGCUGGUCUGAGAGGACGAUCAGCCACACUGGAACUGAGACACGGUCCAGACUCC
rnacentral:rRNA from 2 species